rnacentral:lncRNA from 1 species
CAAGAUGCCUUAUGGUGCCUAGAACUAACACAUUGAUCAAACAGAUACAAAACAUUGCAAGGCAGAACAAGAGGUGAUGAUUGCAAAACUAUUAUGAGGUGAUGAUUGCAAAACUAGGUUUACUCUGGCAAGAGGAGCACAACACACACCUAUUCUAAAUAGAUGAAUCUAAGAUGUCAUACAUUUCACCACAGUAUGUAACAACACAUGCUGCCAGAUGGUAGUCUCUAGCAAAUUAAAUCUGGUUCAACCAUACCAAGCAUAUAUAUUAUUCAAAGCAAAGCAUGGGGACAUACUAGUAUUACUCGGCGGCCAUCAAAUUUAGGAAAUCCAUG